rnacentral:rRNA from 1 species
CCCUUAGAUGUUCUGGGCCGCACGCGCGCUACACUGACGAUGGCAACGAGUUUUUCCUUCGCCGAAAGGUGUGGGUAAUCUUUUGAAACAUCGUCGUGCUGGGGAUAGAUCAUUGCAAUUUUUGAUCUUGAACGAGGAAUUCCUAGUAAGCGCGAGUCAUCAGCUCGCGUUGAUUACGUCCCUGCCCUUUGUACACACCGCCCGUCGCUACUACCGAUUGAAUGGUUUAGUGAGGACUCCAGAUUGGCGCCGCCGCCCCGGCAACGGAGCAGCGGACUGCCGAAAAGUUGUUCAAACUUGAUCAUUUAGAGGAAGUAAAAGUCGUAACA